GUGAGGUAACGGCCCACCAAGGCGUCGACGGGUAGCUGGUCUGAGAGGAUGAUCAGCCACACUGGGACUGAGACACGGCCCAGACUCCUACGGGAGGCAGCAGUGGGGAAUCUUGCGCAAUGGGCGAAAGCCUGACGCAGCAACGCCGCGUGCGGGACGACGGCCCUCGGGUUGUAAACCGCUUUCAGCAGGAACGAUGAUGACGGUACCUGCAGAAGAAGCUCCGGCCAACUACGUGCCAGCAGCCGCGGUAAUACGUAGGGAGCAAGCGUUGUCCGGAUUUAUUGGGCGUAAAGAGCUCGUAGGCGGUUCGGUAAGUCGGGUGUGAAAACUCUGGGCUCAACCCGGAGAGGCCACUCGAUACUGCCGUGACUUGAGUCUGGUAGGGGAGCACGGAAUUCCUGGUGUAGCGGUGAAAUGCACAGAUAUCAGGAGGAACACCGGUGGCGAAGGCGGUGCUCUGGGCCAGUACUGACGCUGAGGAGCGAAAGCGUGGGGAGCGAACAGGAUUAGAUACCCUGGUAGUCCACGCCGUAAACGUUGGGCACUAGGUGUGGGGGGACGUCAACUCCCUCCGUGCCGUAGCUAACGCAUUAAGUG
rnacentral:rRNA from 1 species